UAAUCAUAAUCAUAACAGUCACAAGUUAUGUUGUCCGCUACCGGAUGUAAUUCGAUGAUCGCUUGACAACCAGAUGUCUCAGAGACACACGAUGCAUUAUUGAAACCAGUGACACCGAAUACGCAAGAAAUACUGUUAGUUGUUACACUUUGUUUAUAAAUCAAUUUAUGAAAUCAAAAUUAAUAUCUAAAUUUUUCUUUCCCCACUGGGUUGAAGCAUCAAUUAUUUUCUGCUAUCGAUUGGUUGAAGGUUUGCACAGUAAAUUUUGGAUUUCGAUUUGGAUCGAAGAAUGUGAGUACAGGACAGUUGAUGACAAAUCACUGAAAGAGGGAAGAGCUUUUACUUUGCAAUCGAGAAGUUAGCAAUCCUGUUUUAAGUCAAGUCAACUUAUUCGGCCUAAUUAAUUGAUUACAAAAUGUCGAGUUUUAAUGAGGUUGUGAGGCAAGUAAUAGACCAAAAUGGUUUAAUUAUUCGAGCAAAACCUCAAAUGCGAUGAUUAAAAAUUAUUGAUUUAUCUCGUCGGGUGUAUUGUCGCAAAACUCGGGAUAAUCAAAGUUUCUUAAUAAGGAUACAAGUUGAGACGCAAAACGUCGACGGCAAGAUACUUGAGAGAAGAUUUUAAGUUCCGCCGAGGAUACAGAUUACUUCAUUAUAUACAUUUAUAUAAAAUAUAUAGAAUAUUAAACGUGACAUUGUGGAAAAUAGGUCAAAUGCAUAUUAUCUGUAUCUACAUCAGCGUGCAUUUGAAAAGGUAUACCUGUGACAGAAAAGUCCUCAACGUCAUAUAAAUCAAAAUGUUUAGCGAACUCUUUUUGCAAUUAAAUCCCGUUUGACAUUGACCUUUUCCGACAACAACAAUACAAUCGUCGAUGCUUUUUUCCAGCUUUUAGUUUGCUGCUACAAUAGGCUUCAUUUUUUUCCUUUUUUUUUUUCAAAGGUUGAUCGAAAUGAAAAAUAACUUCGACGAUGCGUAACUCUAAUCUCUGCACAUUUCGGCUUAA